UCCUUCCCUGCCAGCCAGAUAGAUAGACAGAUGGGAAAGGCAGGCGCGGCCUUCGUUGUCAUUAAACAGCUAAAAGAAGUAAAAUAAGAAGGCAAUGCUUGUGGAAUGUACAGUGCAUAUUGGCGGCGCACGCCUCAUUACGAUUCGCCUGCUUGCUUCUCCUGUUCAAUCGCUCUCACUUUCUUUGGAAGGCAGUGGAUUUUUCUCUUGCGUCUCUGUCUUCUUCAGUUUCGACUUAUCGAAUUUCUCG
rnacentral:lncRNA from 1 species